rnacentral:misc_RNA from 1 species
UCCGGUUUGGCACCGGCAGUCUCCCUAGAGUGCCCGCCAUUACGCGCUGGCAACAUAGAACGAGGGUUGCGCUCGUUGCGGGACUUAACCCAACAUCUCACGACACGAGCUGACGACAACCAUGCACCACCUGUAUACCGCCCUUGCGGACCCCAUAUCUCUAUGAGUUUUCGGUAUAUGUCAAGCCUUGGUAAGGUUCUUCGCGUUGCGUCGAAUUAAGCCACAUGCUCCGCCGCUUGUGCGGGCCCCCGUCAAUUCCUUUGAGUUUUAGCCUUGCGGCCGUACUCCCCAGGCGGGGCACUUAAUGCGUUAGCUUCGGCACUGCAGGGGUCGAUACCCGCAACACCAAGUGCCCAACGUUUACAGCGUGGACUAC